AUACGGAGGGUGCAAGCGUUGUUCGGAAUCACUGGGCGUAAAGGGCGCGCAGGCGGUUUGGUAAGUCAGAUGUGAAAGCCCAUGGCUCAACCAUGGAAGUGCAUUUGAAACUGUCAGACUUGAGUACUAGAGGGGAAAGUGGAAUUCCCGGUGUAGAGGUGAAAUUCGUAGAUAUCGGGAGGAAUACCGGUGGCGAAGGCGACUUUCUGGCUAGAUACUGACGCUGAGGCGCGAAGGCGUGGGGAGCAAACAGGAUUAGAAACCCCGGUAGUCC
rnacentral:rRNA from 1 species